UCAAGCAACUAAGCGCAUACGGUGGAUGCCUUGGCAGUCAGAGGCGAUGAAAGACGUGGAAGCCUGCGAUAAGGUUCGGGGAGCUGGCAAACGAGCUGUGAUCCGGACAUUUCUGAAUGGGGAAACCCACCGACUUUCGGGUCGGUAUCUUGCACUGAAUACAUAGGUGUAAGAGGCGAACCGGGGGAACUGAAACAUCUAAGUACCCUUAGGAAAAGAAAUCAACCGAGAUUCCCCUAGUAGCGGCGA
rnacentral:rRNA from 1 species